AGCUUGCUUUUCCGCUGACGAGUGGCGCACGGGUGCGUAACGCGUAUACAAUCUGCCUCUUACUGGGGGAUAGCCUUUGGAAACGAAGAAUAAUACCCCAUGGUAUCCAGGUUUCGCAUGGAAUCUGGAUUAAAGUUUCGACGGUAAGAGAUGAGUAUGCGUUCUAUUAGCUAGAUGGUGUGGUAACGGCACACCAUGGCAACGAUAGAUAGGGGCCCUGAGAGGGGGAUCCCCCACACUGGUACUGAGACACGGACCAGACUCCUACGGGAGGCAGCAGUGAGGAAUAUUGGACAAUGGGCGGAAGCCUGAUCCAGCCAUGCCGCGUGCAGGAAGACUGCCCUAUGGGUUGUAAACUGCUUUUGUACGGGAAGAAACCCACCUACGUGUAGGUGGCUGACGGUACCGUAAGAAUAAGCAUCGGCUAACUCCGUGCCAGCAGCCGCGGUAAUACGGAGGAUGCAAGCGUUAUCCGGAAUCAUUGGGUUUAAAGGGUCCGUAGGUGGAUCGGUCAGUCAGAGGUGAAAUCCUGCAGCUCAACUGUAGAACUGCCUUUGAUACUGCCGGUCUUGAAUUAUCGUGAAGUGGUUAGAAUAUGUAGUGUAGCGGUGAAAUGCAUAGAUAUUACAUAGAAUACCGAUUGCGAAGGCAGAUCACUAACGAUACAUUGACACUGAUGGACGAAAGCGUGGGGAGCGAACGGGAUUAGAUACCCCGGUAGUCCACGCCGUAAACGAUGGUCACUAGCUGUUCGGACUUCGGUCUGAGUGGCUAAGCGAAAGUGAUAAGUGACCCACCUGGGGAGUACGUUCGCAAG
rnacentral:rRNA from 1 species